CGGCACGACGCACCCCGGGCUUCUCUGAAGAUCCCAUUGAAGAAGAGCGCCCCAUUGCUCGUGCCAUACUUUUGCCGUUCAGUGUUGCAGUUUAGCCCCAAUUCCUCCAGGGCUGAUCUGUGUCGAGUAAACGGCUACAUCU